UGACAGUCGAGCGGACAGAAGGGAGCUUGCUCCCGGAUGUUAGCGGCGGACGGGUGAGUAACACGUGGGUAACCUGCCUGUAAGACUGGGAUAACUCCGGGAAACCGGAGCUAAUACCGGAUAGUUCCUUGAACCGCAUGGUUCAAGGAUGAAAGACGGUUUCGGCUGUCACUUACAGAUGGACCCGCGGCGCAUUAGCUAGUUGGUGGGGUAAUGGCUCACCAAGGCGACAAUGCGUAGCCAACCUGAGAGGGUGAUCGGCCACACUGGGACUGAGACACGGCCCAGACUCCUACGGGAGGCAGCAGUAGGGAAUCUUCCGCAAUGGACGAAAGUCUGACGGAGCAACGCCGCGUGAGUGAUGAAGGUUUUCGGAUCGUAAAGCUCUGUUGUUAGGGAAGAACAAGUGCGAGAGUAACUGCUCCCACCUUGACGGUACCUAACCAGAAA
rnacentral:rRNA from 1 species